rnacentral:tRNA from 1 species
GCCGAGAUAGCUCAGUCGGUAGAGCACAGGUCUGAAAAACCUGGUGUCGCGAGUUCGAUUCUCGCUCUCGGCA